UACGGAGGGGACUAGCGUUGUUCGGAAUUACUGGGCGUAAAGCGCACGUAGGCGGAUUUGUAAGUCAGGGGUGAAAUCCCGGGGCUCAACCCCGGAACUGCCUUUGAUACUGCGAAUCUCGAGUCCGGAAGAGGUGAGUGGAAUUCCUAGUGUAGAGGUGAAAUUCGUAGAUAUUCGGAGGAACACCAGUGGCGAAGGCGGCUUACUGGCUCGAUACUGACGCUGAGGUGCGAAAGCGUGGGGAGCAAACAGG
rnacentral:rRNA from 1 species